rnacentral:lncRNA from 1 species
GUCUGAUCCUAUCUGACCCAACCCCGGAACUUAGAAUGGCCAGACAGUUUUGGAUGGUGGAACGGGGAUAUUUUGGAGAGGUCGGACCCAUCCCAUUCUCUCUCCAGGCACGAGCAGGAACAUCAAAAUCUCAGACCGAAUACAUCGGCAUAUCAUAGAAGACUUAUAAGAUUAAGAUUUUAUAGGCUGCCUGCAGAAAUAGUUGACCGAUCGCACAACAAUUCUUU